UCCCUGGUGGCUCGGACGGUAAAGCGUCUGCCUACAAUGCAGGAGAUCCAGGUUUGAUCCCUGGGUUGGGAA
rnacentral:tRNA from 1 species